UACACACCCGCCAUAUCUCCCUCUCAUCUCUCUCUCUCUAACACAAUGUCCGGUCGCCGGAGAAACAGCUCUAACAUGAUAAGUACACCUGACCGUUUUAGUUAUCCUCUGUCACCGUCGCCGAGCUCCUAUUCUACCUACUCGUCGGAAAAGUCAACUUCUGGCCGGAGCCGAUUCAAAGGUGUUGCAAGAUCCGUUGCCGGAGUUUUUGUUGCUUGUUUUUCUCCGCCGGAUGAGGACUCGCAUCACCAUAUCUCCUCCGCAUACGGUGGAUCUGAUGCAUUUAGUUCAACAUCAGGACGUGGUUGGCCAAAACUGUUAAACAAGUAAACUAUCUGCCGAGCAAACCGAGAUCUACAGGUACAGCUGCGGACGGACGUUGCAAACGGAUGGAGUGUGUGUGGUUUGGAAGGUGGUACGUUUUGUACAUUUGUUUAAAUUGUGGUUUCCAACCGUGAUAAGUUUAUUUUACAUUUCCGCU